rnacentral:pre_miRNA from 1 species
UGGUUGAUCCAUUGGAAGACUGAGCUUGAGGGUGAAAGAGGUAAACAGGCUUCUGUAGAUCAGCCAGC